CUUUGGAAUUGAUCACUGCGGGUUGAACAUCCUUUUGUAUUUUUUCUUGAAUGCUUUCAUCAACUAUCCCAAUUCUUACAGAUGGUAUGGUAGAUAAAAAGGAGAUGGCUUUAUCCACAGAUUCAUCUGUCAUUGUACAACAAAUGCAGAUGCUGCCAACCUCAACACUAGUGGACAUUCUGUCAAGUUCAUUUUCUGGAAUGCUUCUCAAGUUGUUAUCAAUUGUGUCUAAUGCAUCACUGGGAAGUGUUUGUUGCUGUAAGAUUUGAUCAGUGUCACCUUGGACAGUUGCAGGAUCAGGCAAUUUUGGCUGGACUUCUUCUUCUGGUGGACCUGUCAUUGUUUAUCUGAGAUUUUUCAACUGCUAAAGUAUUACUCUUUAUUGAUUUUGAUAAGCAUUGAAUCUCAAAAACAUAAAAUUUCAAAUUUCUGUUGUUUAGGGUUUAGGGUUCCAAGGCAAAAUGAAUCUCACUAAAAGUAAUGAAAUUUGUGAGUUUUGAGCACAUACAGUCUGUUGCUGAAUUUAGUAAUUUUAUUUUUGUCAUUUCUUCAA